rnacentral:rRNA from 1 species
GACGAACGCUGGCGGCGUGCUUAACACAUGCAAGUCGAACGGAAAGGCCCUGCUUUUGUGGGGUGCUCGAGUGGCGAACGGGUGAGUAACACGUGAGUAACCUGCCCUUGACUUUGGGAUAACUUCAGGAAACUGGGGCUAAUACCGGAUAGGAGCUCCUGCUGCAUGGUGGGGGUUGGAAAGUUUCGGCGGUUGGGGAUGGACUCGCGGCUUAUCAGCUUGUUGGUGGGGUAGUGGCUUACCAAGGCUUUGACGGGUAGCCGGCCUGAGAGGGUGACCGGCCACAUUGGGACUGAGAUACGGCCCGGACUCCUACGGGGGGCAGCAGUGGGGAAUAUUGCACAAUGGGCGGAAGCCUGAUGCAGCAACGCCGCGUGCGGGAUGACGGCCUUCGGGUUGUAAACCGCUUUCGCCUGUGACGAAGCGUGAGUGACGGUAAUGGGUAAAGAAGCACCGGCUAACUACGUG